UACGGAGGAUGCAAGCGUUAUCCGGAAUUAUUGGGCGUAAAGCGUCCGUAGGUGGCUAAUCAAGUCUGCUGUCAAAGCGUGGAGCUUAACUCCAUACCGGCGGUGGAAACCGAUGAGCUAGAGUGCGAUAGGGGUAGCAGGAAUUCCCAGUGUAGCGGUGAAAUGCGUAGAGAUCGGGAAGAACGCCAAGGGCGAAGGCACUCUGCUAGGCCUGAUUUCGCGACUGACACUCAGGGACGAGAGCCAGGGGAGCGAAUGGG
rnacentral:rRNA from 1 species